UCCUGCUGGGACAUCCUUAAAGGGUGUCUCUCCAUGCCGCUUCUGACGAUCAGAUGUCAUUUAUAGAAGGAAUUUGGGUGUCUGCAAUGGAUUCUGGGAAGUCCCCAGAAUGCUAGGAGAAAACUACAUGAUACAGAGAAGAGGGAAACCGUGUCUGCUUUGCUUCAUGCGACCUCAGGUCCCACGAGAACUUCUUCAGUUCUUUGUCACUCACAACCCUUCACAAGCUGAAAAAAAUCACGUAGGUAAAACCAUACAGACAGCCUUCUUUAGGAAGCUCUUAAUGCCACGCCCCCAAUUGCUACGUGGCUUUGAGCGAGUCAACGGCACAAUGCUGUGGUGCACUCCUCUGCCGUGUGGUGAUGUGGGAUCUUGCCAAGGCUAUCUUAAGCUUUGAUUUAACUCUCAGAUACACGGGCUGCUGGGACCAUGUUUGAGCCAUGGCUUAUGCUUUAACCUUUGAACGUCUCCUUAGAAGUAGUUGGACAGUUUUCUUCAUCUGUGUGUGUGUGUGUGUGUGUGUGUGUGUGUGUGUCUGCAUUGAACAUAGAAUGGCAUGGUCCAUGGUGGAUAAGGAACUCAGACGCUGUCCAGUCAAGGGCUGUGUGUCUAUGUGAAGCAUGAACAACGGUGGCGAAGAACAGGCCAUGGAGGGAAUGCUGCUGAAUCAGGAACAUCUGCUGGGACCUCAGAAGGAAACAAUUUCACACAAGAUACUGUUGAAGCUUUGGACCUCUGGCAUAGAUUUUGAAAGUUAAGAGAAUUUGAGGUACCGAGCAGUACCACCACCUUGGGCCACAGUCUCAGGCUCCUAUCCUUUCAUGAGGUGGCAGGACAUUCCACAGCAUGUGAUUUAGUCUGGACCAACCUGAGUGACAAGCAGCGCAGAGGAGCCAGAUACUGGGUGAAUCAGAGGCCUCAAAGCCACAGGAUAGCAGGAGAGAGAGAGACAGAGACACAGAGAGACAGAGAAAAAGAGAGAGAGAGAGAGAGAGAGAGAGAGCUGCAGGGGGUGUGGGAAUCAUGGCUUGAUUUCCUCAGGCUAUAAAGCUGGCCUCUAAGAGUGACCAGUGCCAUGGAGGCAGGCCCAUGAUCCAAUAGAAGCAGACAUCUUCAUCCCGUUUGCCCCAAGCCUGUGCUCUAAGUACAUACUGGAGUCCAGAGGGCACUUCUGAGUGACGUCUGGUUCUUGGGUCUCAGAACAAAGACCUGAACUGGGGACACACCGAUAAGGAGAGUCUGUUACCACAGUAGAAGGCGCUCCCCAGAGCAGAAGUGCAGGGCAGCUUGGGAAGGAGCUCUUCAUGUGUGGGAACACUAUUCUCCUCUUGCUUUUAGAAACAGGAGGCUUAGUUCUGCGACAGAUUGGGACAAGCUCUCUGCCAUUGGUUCCUCUUAUAUGUUAAUCUUGCUUCUGUUGGAACCUCUCUCUCUCUCUCUCUCUCUCUCUCUCUCUCUCUCUGGCCUUGUUCUCUUAUCUCACCUUGAAUAGAAGAAUUUCCUAUCUCUGUCUCCUGAUCUUGUCUCUGCAGAGGCAGUGGACAUUAGGAUCUCAGGGCCCAACAGACAAGUGCCCUGAAGUUUCGGCUUUUGUCUUUAGAAGCUGCUGGUUGGAAGGGGUGGGGCUAUGCCUAGUGACCCGCAAGCCUGCCGGUGCCUACCCGGGGACCUUCCAAGGCUAGCCAUCCCAUUACUCGCUCUACUUUUUCUGCUUCUCGCCAUUUCUCAUCUCUUUAGUUGGCAUAUUGGUGGUGGCUGAUCCUCCCUCUCUCUCAUUGGGUGUUGCCAGACCCAGGCUUUCCCCCUAAAAGCUGAUAACGCUAUGGGGCCAGGAGGAGCUGGGCAUGCCUCAUAGGCACCUAAACUCUACUCUGAGGCAUGGGAAGAACUUGGUGACUUUUAAUAUAUUUUUUUCUCCAUUUCCCCCUCUGUGGCAGGAACAUGAGGCCACAACUUAAAAACCACCCUCCAGGAGCAUGCUGCCAUUGGGGUUUGGUGACCAUUUAAGCCGCAUUCAGGAAAGGGGGGAAUUCUUCCUCGCCUGGCAUUUGUCUGGAUAACUCCUUCCAGCCAAAAGCCCCAUUAUCAGAGUUCCAGUCAGAGCCUGAGCCCUGGAGGCCUCUACAAGCUGGUUCAGUCUCCUGUCCUCAAUAGGCCUAAGGCCGAGCAGACAAGGAAAAAAAAAAAAAAAAGCAGGAAAAAAAAAUUCAAUGUGGCCACAUUAGAAGAGGGACAGUGACCACCCCCUACCAAGUCUACCUUUGGGGUCCUGACAAGAAGUUGAGGAUUUAAUAGAAGGCAAGACGUAUGAAAUCCUGAACAAGAGGAGGGGUCCGCCCACCAUAUCUCAUCAUUGUCUCAUCUCUGGUCUUGCAAAAUGCUCUGGCACUUGUCAGAACUGAGUGAAAUCUCUCCCUGGAGACAAGUUCCCCGUCUGGCCAGCACCAAGCUUCAACCUCUUCCUGCACUCAGCCUGACACUCCUGGGGGAAACUCCAAUUUCUUGGGGACCAUUGUGUCAAUGAUCUGAUAUUCGAGAAUCUCUUUAGAAUCCUUGCUUCCUACUGCAACAGCACUGGGGAGGCAGAGGCAGGCAGAUCUCUGGGUUCGAGGCCAGGCUGGUCUACAGAGCAAGUUCCAAGACAGCCAGGGCUACACAGAGAAAGCCUGCCUUGAAAAACAACAAAACAAAACAAAACAAAACAAAAAAUUGUGACGGAGAAUGGUGUCUGAGGAAUGACACCCAGAGAUGACCUCUGGCCUCCAUGCACACUCACACACUUGUGCACAUAUACCCCUCUUGUAUGUCUUCACACACACACCAGAUAUAUGCUUCUGCUGUAAAAAAAUUAAGGCAAAUAAACUUCUGGUGUAGUAACA